rnacentral:rRNA from 1 species
GCUCCAAUAGCGUAUAUUUAAGUUGUUGCAGUUAAAAAGCUCGUAGUUGGAUUUCGGUUGAGAGCGGCCGGUCCGCCGUUUGGUGUGCACUGGCUGGUUUCAACUUCCUGCGGAGGACGCGCUCUGGGCUUAACGGUCUGGACGUGGAGUCCGCGUGGUUACUUUGAGUAAAUUAGAGUGUUCAAAGCAGGCCACCGCUC